rnacentral:rRNA from 2 species
AGAGUUUGAUCCUGGCUCAGGAUGAACGCUAGCGACAGGCCUAACACAUGCAAGUCGAGGGGCAGCGGAGAGGUAGCAAUACCUUUGCCGGCGACCGGCGCACGGGUGAGUAACACGUAUGCAAUCCACCUGUAACAGGGGGAUAACCCGGAGAAAUCCGGACUAAUACCCCAUAAUAUGGGUUCUCCGCAUGGAGGGUCCAUUAAAGAGAGCAAUUUUGGUUACAGACGAGCAUGCGCUCCAUUAGCCAGUUGGCGGGGUAACGGCCCACCAAAGCGACGAUGGAUAGGGGUUCUGAGAGGAAGGUCCCCCACAUUGGAACUGAGACACGGUCCAAACUCCUACGGGAGGCAGCAGUGAGGAAUAUUGGUCAAUGGUCGGCAGACUGAACCAGCCAAGUCGCGUGAGGGAAGACGGCCCUACGGGUUGUAAACCUCUUUUGUCGGAGAGUAAAGUACGCUACGUGUAGCGUAUUGCAAGUAUCCGAAGAAAAAGCAUCGGCUAACUCCGUGCCAGCAGCCGCGGUAAUACGGAGGAUGCAAGCGUUAUCCGGAUUUAUUGGGUUUAAAGGGUGCGUAGGCGGCACGCCAAGUCAGCGGUGAAAUUUCCGGGCUCAACCCGGACUGUGCCGUUGAAACUGGCGAGCUAGAGUGCACAAGAGGCAGGCGGAAUGCGUGGUGUAGCGGUGAAAUGCAUAGAUAUCACGCAGAACCCCGAUUGCGAAGGCAGCCUGCUAGGGUGCGACAGACGCUGAGGCACGAAAGCGUGGGUAUCGAACAGGAUUAGAUACCCUGGUAGUCCACGCAGUAAACGAUGAAUACUAACUGUUUGCGAUACAAUGUAAGCGGUACAGCGAAAGCGUUAAGUAUUCCACCUGGGGAGUACGCCGGCAACGGUGAAACUCAAAGGAAUUGAC